rnacentral:rRNA from 1 species
GACGAACGCUGGCGGCGUGCUUAACACAUGCAAGUCGAGCGAUGAAGUUCCUUCGGGAAUGGAUUAGCGGCGGACGGGUGAGUAACACGUGGGUAACCUGCCUCAUAGAGGGGAAUAGCCUUUCGAAAGGAAGAUUAAUACCGCAUAAGAUUGUAGUAUCGCAUGAUACAGCAAUUAAAGGAGUAAUCCGCUAUGAGAUGGACCCGCGUCGCAUUAGCUAGUUGGUGAGGUAACGGCUCACCAAGGCGACGAUGCGUAGCCGACCUGAGAGGGUGAUCGGCCACAUUGGGACUGAGACACGGCCCAGACUCCUACGGGAGGCAGCAGUGGGGAAUAUUGCACAAUGGGGGAAACCUUGAUGCAGCAACGCCGCGUGAGUGAUGACGGUCUUCGGAUUGUAAAGCUCUGUCUUUAGGGACGAUAAUGACGGUACCUGAGGAGGAAGCCACGGCUAACUACGUGCCAGCCGCCGCCGUAAAAC